CCGACAUGGACGUCCAGAGAGAAGUUCUCCUGGUUCUGUUCUGGUGGCGUAUGGGAGCGUAGCUUUGGGCCGGGACGUACAUUCCCGUUCCACGGUGUCGGACAGAAAGCUGCGUCCCCGGUUCCGGCCGGCGAGGACGGGCGUCCUGCAUAUUCCUACAACUUCCCAGAGUCCUUUGGGCCGUUACUGGGGAGCUAAACCAUGCAGGAUACACAU
ensembl:snoRNA SNORA73 Small nucleolar RNA SNORA73 family